GAUCCUGGCUCAGAUUGAACGCUGGCGGCAGGCCUAACACAUGCAAGUCGAACGGUAACAGAAAGCAGCUUGCUGCUUUGCUGACGAGUGGCGGACGGGUGAGUAAUGUCUGGGAAACUGCCUGAUGGAGGGGGAUAACUACUGGAAACGGUAGCUAAUACCGCAUAACGUCGCAAGACCAAAAGAGGGGGGACCCUUAGGGCCUCUUGCCAUCGGAUGUGCCCAGAUGGGAUUAGCUAGUAGGG
rnacentral:rRNA from 1 species